rnacentral:rRNA from 1 species
UACGAAGGGGGCUAGCGUUGCUCGGAAUCACUGGGCGUAAAGGGUGCGUAGGCGGGUCUUUAAGUCAGGGGUGAAAUCCUGGAGCUCAACUCCAGAACUGCCUUUGAUACUGAGAAGCUUGAGUCCGGGAGAGGUGAGUGGAAUUCCUAGUGUAGAGGUGAAAUUCGUAGAUAUUAGGAAGAACACCAGUGGCGAAGGCGGCUCACUGGCCCGGUACUGACGCUGAGGCGCGAAAGCGUGGGGAGCAAACAGG